CUAAUACAUGCAAGUCGAGCGAACUUGAUGGGAGCUUGCUCCCUGAUAGUUAGCGGCGGACGGGUGAGUAACACGUGGGUAACCUGCCUGUAAGACUGGGAUAACUCCGGGAAACCGGGGCUAAUACCGGAUAACUUUUUUCUUCGCAUGAAGGGGAAUUGAAAGAUGGCUCCGGCUAUCACUUACAGAUGGACCCGCGGCGCAUUAGCUAGUUGGUGAGGUAACGGCUCACCAAGGCGACGAUGCGUAGCCGACUUGAGAGGGUGAUCGGCCACACUGGGACUGAGACACGGCCCAGACUCCUACGGGAGGCAGCAGUAGGGAAUCUUCCGCAAUGGACGAAAGUCUGACGGAGCAACGCCGCGUGAGUGAUGAAGGUUUUCGGAUCGUAAAACUCUGUUGUUAGGGAAGAACAAGUAUCGUUCGAAUAGGGCGGUACCUUGACGGUACCUAACCAGAAAGCCACGGCUAACUACGUGCCAGCAGCCGCGGUAAUAC
rnacentral:rRNA from 1 species